rnacentral:rRNA from 1 species
GGGUCAGUAGGUUGGUCGUGCCACCGGUACGUACUGGUCUCACUGAUUCCUCCUUCCUGAAGAACCGUAAUGCCAUUAAUUUGGUGUUGCGGGGAAGCAGGACUGUUACUUUGAAAAAAUUAGAGUGUUUAAAGCAAGCUAACGCUUGAAUACAUUAGCGUGGAAUAAUGAAAUAGGACGAUCGAUCCUAUUUUGUUGGUUUCUAGGAUUGACGUA